UAUGCUUUUAUUUGUUAUUACUGUUUGCAUUUGUUCAUGUAAAGCACAUUGAAUGAUCUCUGUGUAUGAAAUGCGGUAUACCAAAUAAAACUGUGGUAUACCAAUUAUGAAAGAACAAAUAAACUGUGGUAUACCAAUUGUAACCCACAUGGAUAGCCAGCUUGCCCAUUGUGAUGUACCAAUAAUUCUUUGGUGACCCCUAGAGGGCGCACGAGACAGGUUCAAACAAUCAAAUAAUAAUAAACAACUGCUACUACAAAUUAGAGACGGACGUCGAACGGAUAACUAACGAUACAGAAAGAAAGAAGAAGAAUAUUAAUCAAAACAAGAAUAAUCUUGACCAAACAGAAAUCAAACACAUUUCUUUUGAUCGAAAAGCUUCAAUCCUGAUAAACCACUUCCUGAACAAAGACCUCGUUGGACCAUCGUAACAGAUCGAAACAUAUUAAUCACUUGAAUCCUGACUGGUUUUUUGAUUACCCUUUCAACCACUCCUUGACCUACGCCUUGGAUACCUCGAAUUUCCUGCUGUGAUACCCUUCCCUGGACCAUUUGUGUCUACGCCUUGGAUACCUCAAAUUCCCUGCUGUGAUACCCUUCCCUGGACCAUCCUCAUCGCCAUUCUUCCUUGCAAUAUUCCCAGAAAUUGAACCCCCGCCUUCAUCCACUUUCCACCCAGUGACUGUGGUAGGAUCUGGGCAAAUACACCUACACCCACGGACUGUGACAUUAAGGAAUUACAUCCACCACUAUUUUUUAUUUAAUUAUU